UUGCUGGCUUUGGCAGCAGGUAUACUGAAAUUGGAAGGAUACAGAGAAGAUUAGCGUGUCCCCUGCCCAAGGAUGACACGCAAAUUCGGGAAGCGUUCCAGCUCCCU